UGCACACAUGGGCGCAAGCCUGAUGCAGCGACGCCGCGUGAGGGAUGACCGCCUUCGUGUUGUAAACCUCUUCAGUAGGAAGAAGCGAAAGUGACGGUACCUGCAGAAGAAGCGCCGCCUAACUACGUGCAGCAGCCGCGGUAAUACGUAGGGCGCAAGCGUUAUCCGGAAUUAUUGGGCGUAAAGAGCUCGUAGGCGGUUGUCGCGUCUGCUGUGAAAGACCGGCGCUCAACUCCGGUUCUGCAGUGGGUACGGGCAGACUAGAGUGCAGUAGGGGAGACUGGAAUUCCUGGUGUAGCGGUGAAAUGCGCAGAUAUCAGGAGGAACACCGAUGGCGAAGGCAGGUCUCUGGGCUGUAACUGACGCUGAGGAGCGAAAGCAUGGGGAGCGAACAGGAUUAGAUACCCUGGUAGUCCAUGCCGUAAACGUUGGGCACUAGGUGUGGGGGACAUUCCACGUUUUCCGCGCCGUAGCUAACGCAUUAAGUGCCCCGCCUGGGGAGUACGGCCGCAAGGCUAAAACUCAAAGGAAUUGACGGGGGCCCGCACAAGCGGCGGAGCAUGCGGAUUAAUUCGAUGCAACGCGAAGAACCUUACCAAGGCUUGACAUGAACCGGAAAGACCUGGAAACAGGUGCCCCGCUUGCGGUCGGUUUACAGGUGGUGCAUGGUUGUCGUCAGCUCGUGUCGUGAGAUGUUGGGUUAAGUCCCGCAACGAGCGCAACCCUCGUUCUAUGUUGCCAGCGCGUUAUGGCGGGGACUCAUAGGAGACUGCCGGGGUCAACUCGGAGGAAGGUGGGGACGACGUCAAAUCAUCAUGCCCCUUAUGUCUUGGGCUUCACGCAUGCUACAAUGGCCGGUACAAAGGGUUGCGAUACUGUGAGGUGGAGCUAAUCCCAAAAAGCCGGUCUCAGUUCGGAUUGGGGUCUGCAACUCGACCCCAUGAAGUCGGAGUCGCUAGUAAUCGCAGAUCAGCAACGCUGCGGUGAAUACGUUCCCGGGCCUUGUACACACCGCCCGUCAAGUCACGAAAGUUGGUAACACCCGAAGCCGGUGGCCUAACCCUUGUGGGGGAGCCGUCGAAUAUGAUCCGGCUC
rnacentral:rRNA from 1 species